rnacentral:rRNA from 1 species
AGGACGAACGCUGGCGGCGUGCUUAACACAUGCAAGUCGGAGCGGAAAGGCCCUUCGGGGUACUCGAGCGGCGAACGGGUGAGUAACACGUGAGCAACCUGUCCUUAGCUUCGGGAUAGCUCCGGGAAACCGGAAUUAAUACCGAAUAUGAUUUUUGCUGACAUCAGCAGAGGUGGAAAGUUUUUCGGCUAGGGGAUGGACUCGCGGCCUAUCAGCUAGUUGGUGAGGUAACGGCCACCAAGGCGACGACGGGUA